UACGUAGGUGGCGAAGCGUUGUCCGGAUUUAUUGGGCGUAAAGGGAGCGCAGGCGGUUUGAAAAGUCUGAAUGUGAAAGCCCUCAGCUUAACUGAGGAAGUGCAUCGGAAACUGUCAAACUUGAGUGCAGAAGAGGAGAGUGGAACUCCAUGUGUAGCGGUGAAAUGCGUAGAUAUAUGGAAGAACACCAGUGGCGAAGGCGGCUCUCUGGUCUGUUACUGACGCUGAGGCUCGAAAGCAUGGGUAGCGAACAGG
rnacentral:rRNA from 1 species